CCCGAGCCCACUCUGAGCGCGCGGCUGCGCACUGUGCCCAGUGCCCUCCCGGAAGCGCGGAGCUCUGCCAGCGCCACGUCUAUCCCCUUACAUACUCCUAGGGCUCCGCAGCAGCCGCGAGGGGCGCAGCCCCCGAGCCGCGGCCCUCGGGACGGUACCGAGAGCAUCAUGGGCAGCGCAGCCCCGCUCUCCGCCUCCGUGCUGCUCCUGCUGCUGCUCCUGCUCCUGCUCCGGGCCGAGCAGCCCCGAGGGGCCGAGCUCACCUUCGAGCUGCCGGACAACGCCAAGCAGUGCUUCCACGAGGAGGUGGAGCAGGGCGUGAAGUUCUCCCUGGAUUACCAGGUCAUCACUGGAGGCCACUACGAUGUUGACUGCUAUGUGGAGGACCCCCAGGGGAACACCAUCUACAGAGAAACCAAGAAGCAGUACGACAGCUUCACAUACCGGGCCGAGGUCAAGGGCGUUUAUCAGUUUUGCUUCAGUAAUGAGUUUUCCACCUUCUCUCACAAGACCGUCUACUUUGACUUUCAAGUGGGUGAUGAGCCUCCCAUUCUCCCAGACAUGGGGAACAGGGUCACGGCUCUCACCCAGGGCUUCAGGGUCUUCUGCCUGUAGCUGCCAAAGGAGGAGAAAAUGAGAAAAGUCCAUCUACUUCUUAAAAGCCCAUGCCCAGUGGGAAUACAUAUCACCUGCUCAUGCCCCAUGGAUGGAGUCCGCCUGCGUGACCAUCCAUGAGGCUCUGAAGACGGUGAUUGACUCCCAGACGCAUUACCGGCUGCGGGAGGCCCAGGACCGGGCCCGAGCGGAAGACCUUAAUAGCCGAGUCUCUUACUGGUCUAUCGGCGAGACGAUUGCCCUGUUCGUGGUCAGCUUCAGUCAGGUGCUACUGUUGAAAAGCUUCUUCACAGAAAAACGACCCAUCAGCAGGGCAGUCCACUCCUAGCCCUGGCCUCCUGCUCUAGGGCCCCUCAUGUCCCAGCCUGGAGCAGCUCUCCUAGGUCUCCUAGGCGCGUAGCCCAGGGUGGAGGCAGAACGAUGCUGCUGUGGUAGCCCUUUGCCUUUCAUGCCCAUGCUUGAUUCUUGCACCUCAGCAGCUGAAGGUCUCAGAGACCAGUAAUCAGAAGGCAUCCGACUGCAUUAUGUGUGCAGCACUGAAAAGAUGUUUACAACUAGGCUAGGGAUUAGCCACUGUGGGAGGGUGGGCAGGCAAUGCUUCAGCAGCCUGGCUGGUAGCAGGAACUCCAAGUGCCCAGGCCUUUUGGGCAGCUCAGGGCCCUGCCUCUGUUUCAUGAUGCAUGGGUCAUUUGUCUUGGGUGUCCUAUCCCAUGUGGAGAAGAAAGGGGCUCUAAGUUCUGGCUCUUCCUCCCCUGGGGUUCUCUGUACCUGAGGAUACCAGGCCCUGGGCAACUUUGCAGAUCUGCUUACCCCAGGUGAGCAACAGUGUCAGCCAUGCAAGCAGGACAGAAUGGUGACUGGGUGCCCUUAGUGAGCUGUGUAUUUCCUAGGAGGUAGAAAACUGUGGGAAACUGUGGCUAAUAAAAACGAAGUGUGAGCAUCCUGGA